CUCCAACCCUAACCCUACCCCUAGACUUUCUAUUUGAUUAAUACACGUUUUCAAGACCAGAACAUGUGUGGUCAUGUAGCUCUACGGGUUACGCCUGUGAUGUUCAGGACUCAUUCUUGUAUUUUACACUCUCUGAUGUUUUCUUUUCUUCAUGUCUAGUGUGUGAAUCAUUUCUGGUUUGUCUCUUCAGUGUCUCAUGUGGCCCUGCAGCUUCUCCUCCUCCACCUCCUCCUGAAGCCUUCAUCUUCUUCAUCAUCAGCUGCUCAGUGACUCUGUUGGACGUCUCACCGUGUGGCAGCAGCUCAGGAGUUUGCAGUCAACCAAGGCCGACUCAGAAUCACUCCCACCGGGAAGAUCUGUGAAGGAAGGUCCACCCGGCUGGUCCAGAAGCUCCGGUCCAGCAGAGCAGCGUCAGGAUGGAGACGUAACCGGUGUUGAUGUCACCGCCUUGACGAAUAGAAGAAAAGCCUGUAUUUGGUCAUUUUGAGGAUCGCAGACUCUAAAGCGCAUGGAAGACCCUCAGACACAAGAAUGAUACCAAGCCAGAGCAAUCAGUUGGAGAAUGCUAUCGACGAGGGGUUGAAGAGUGGGAAUGCCCAAACCCUGCACGUGUUCUUGCAAACGGACAUAUAUGAGGAGAUCCCAAGGAAAUGCUCCCAACAGUUACCAAAUUGGAUAAACUUGUCAGCAGGUGUUUGGAUCAAAAAGAUGCCACAUCAGCCAGUUGGGCUCUCGCCUGCCUCUCUAAGUGUGGGAAAAACUUGAAACUACCAGGUGGCCAAGGACUGUCUGGACUAAUAGCUCAAGGCCUGAUCAAAAAGAUAAGUAUACAUCCAAUACAGGAGUGUCAGACAUACAGCCUGCGGGACGACUUUGUAAAGUGUAAAAAUUUCAUUCAGAAGACAUUAACUGCAGAUUGUAAAUUUGUAAAACUAUACAUUUAAAAUGAUUUCGAGACCAUGACAAGUUGUUUUGAUCAUAAAGUAAAAUACUGUAUUUCUCAUUGUUCUUUUUUCAUUUUAUGUCUCAUUUUUGUAACAUUUUGUCUUGUUUUUGUUGUUUUUGUCUGACUUUUAGAUUUGCACGGAAUCUCGUAUAUGAUGUUGCAUUUCUUGUCCAGUUCUAUUUUGUCUUUGGGAUGGACUAAUAGCUGCUGGAGUUUUGUAUGUGGUUUUACUGCUGUAUUGAUGUUGUGUUUUUUCAUUAUGCGCUGUAUGGGUUCUGUUAUCCCACGGAUAUAUGGGAUGGUGAUUAUGUCUUUGUUUUUAUUGUCUGGUUGUUGUGUGCGUUUUGUUUGUGUUUCCUUUUGUUUUUUUACUUUGUUUUUAGCUUGUUGUUUUCCUUUGUUGAUGGCCCAUAUCAGGUAUUGGCAGUGUAUGAGUGCGUUCUUGAUGUGUUUUACCUCCUCCUGUCUGUCCUUUAUCAUCUGUUAUGACGCUGGUCCGUUGAUAAAGUGUUCUAACUACCAAUAGUUUGUGAGCUGUGGGAUGUUCUGAUGUCCAGAGGAGGUUCUGCUCUGUAUGUGUAGGUUUCCUGUAAACUGUGAUCUUAAUGCUGCUGUCUUCUCUGUGGUGUAUGUUUAACUCCAAAAAUGAAAUGGUCCGCUUUAUUUCUUCUUCGUGCGUGAAUUGUAAAUUUCCCGUGUCGUCCAUGUUGUUCAGAUGAUCGAUAAGUUCUUGUGUGUGUCCAGAUUUUAUUAUUUCCAGGAUGUCAUCAACGUGUCGUUUCCAGAGUGUGGGUCUGCAGUGUGUGGGUGCUGUGUGGAUGGCUUUUGUUUCUAGGUCCUCCAUGAAAAAAUUACUCAUUAUUGCAGAUAGUGGAUCUCCCAUUGCAAAACCUUGUUUUUGGCUGUAAAUAAUUCCUUUGAACUGAAAAUAGGUGGAUGUGGCAAUGAACCGGAGUAGUGUGAGGAUGUCAUUUACUGUAAGGUUUGUGCAUUUUUUCAGUGUCCUGUCCUUCUUAAGUCGCUCUUGUAUGAUAUGUAAUGUGACAUCAACGGGGGUUUUUGUGAAUAAUGAAACUACAUCAUGUGAAAUGAAUAUGUUGUCUUUUUGUACUGUGAUAUUGUUGAGUUCUUGUGCCAGUUGUUCCUGUGUUAUUUUAUUGGUUUCUAAUAGUGGCUUGAGCAGAGUUUUUAAUGUCCUUUUCUUUUGUUCUGUGGGGUCUUUUUUUGAGUAUUUCGUAUGUGUUCCUGUCCUGUAGCAUGUUGGUUAGCUGUUGUUCGUAUGUUUCCGUGUCCAUGAUGACUGUGGUUCGUCCUUUGUUCGCCGGCAGGAUGGUGAUGCUGUUGUCCUGUUUGAGUGAUUUUUACUGCUUUUGUUUCUUGCUUGGUGAUGUUGCUGUGCGGAAGUUUUGCCGAUUUUAAAAUGCCUGCUAUUGUGUUUCGGAGUUCCGAUUUGUGUCUCUGAUCCUGUAAUUUCUGGCAUGCUAAUUCUGUUGCUAGUAUGAAUUCUUAGUGUGGUAUUGUGGUGGGUGUGAUGGCGAAAUUGAGGCCUCUUGUCAGAACUGUUCGUGUUCCAUGAGGGUGCAUUGUGAUAAGGUAAAACCAUCUUAUCUUUGAUUUGUCGGUGAAAAAGAACUAACGUUAACCUACGAUAGUCAAUGACAAAAUGAACAUCAUCAUCCAAAUAUCAUUUUUGUCAUUUUGUGUUUUGCUUCAUCCAUUGUUUUGUGCAUCGUUUUUGUCAUUUUGUUUCAUGCUUUGUAAUUUUCUGAUUCGUUUGUCCAUGUUUUUGCCACUUUGUAACUUUUUUGUUUUGUUUCGUGUUGUUUGUCUCAUUUUUUGUCAUCUUGUUUCUCGCUUUUGUCGUUUGGGUCUCAUUUUUGGAAUAUUUUGCCUUGUUUUUGUUGCCUUUUUUAAAAAAAGUAAAAUACUAUAUUGUUCAGUUUCAGAUACUUGUGACUAAAUGUUUUGUGCCUUUGUAGACACCCUGUGAUUUGGAAGUUGUAAUGUGUAAAUGAUAAACUGAGGCAAAAUAUUGUUGAAAUUGAACUUACUUUUCUUAAGAAAUUUCAGGUUGUUCAUAAUGUUUUGUAGAAAUAUAGUUCCUUAAAUGUGAACAUUUUCAGAAUGUACUUUGUUGCACUAUAACAAAGGAAAAAUGUGGAGUUGUCGUCCUUUAUCAGUAUUCAUAUUAUGAUUUUACUGGUCCGGCCCACUUGAGAUGAAAUUGGGUUGAAUGUGGCCCCUGAACUAAAUUGAGUUUGACACCUCUGAUCUAAUACAUAGAGACACAUCAUAUGUAGGAGCUCUAAAAGUAUGUUUGCUUACUUGUUAUUGGAACUUCUUUUGUGCACAUGGUGGAGUGGUUUGAGAAAUGCAGGCAGCUGUGGCUCCAGUGUGGCCUGCAGUAGGACGAGACCUUAUUCACACUCUCCGAGGACUUCUUAAACGCCUUAAUGGAGGUACACGAAGCAUGUAAAGAGGGAACAUGGGAAAUCACUGAGUGCUUCCUGUAUCCCAUUGGUCAGUUGGUAGUGGACCCCAGAAUAUACAUCCUGAUUAAGAAAGAGGCAAUUCGUAAAUUUAACCUAGUUCUCGACAAAAUCCCAGUGGAGCUUAAGAAAGACAGGAAGAUCUAACAUCACUGGAGUCCUCAGAUCUCAUGAUCAAACUAGCUUCUCAAAUACUGGAUGGUGGUGAUUAUGACUUCCAGUCUUCCCUGAUGGAGGCACUGUGCAGAAUGGCCACUCCUAACCAGAGGAGAGAGUUGGCAGAUCAAUGGUUCAGCAUGGGGCAUGUGGCCAACGCUUUUGCAAAGAUCCGUGACUCUGAGUUUGAGAUGGCUUGCUGCAAGUUUCUGAACAUGGUGAACGGGAUGCAGGGAGACAGGAGAAG